ensembl:lncRNA LINC01980 long intergenic non-protein coding RNA 1980
AUCUUCAUGAGGUGUAAUGGCGCCGGGAUGCGCUCUCCUCUUCUCAUUUGCCAAUUUAUUGCAGAUCCCUCCUCAAAAAAGUUUUGGGACUAACUCAGCCCCAUGGAGAUCAAGGUGAAUUAGAAAAACAACAAAACAAAACAAGAUUCAUUUUAACAUCUCAUUUUUCUAUCUCCAACUUUCCCUCCCCUCCUCCCACCCCAGGAAGAAAAGACUACGUUUGUUUCUGGUGAUACAUUCAUUGUAGGUGGGUGGGUGACUUCUAGAAGAGGAAAAUCAAGAAGAUUUGGAGAAGGAGUCUUGGAAGCUCUGGUGAAGUUUUCCAAAACUGGGAAGGACAGAGCCACAGGUCUGCCUGUUCUUUUGCUUUGCCAUUUGUGUGGAUACCUAGUAGAGCAAUUUGGGUGCCAUUCUUUGAGGAAUCCAUUGGAUCUGUCAGAAAGCUGAGUCUGCUCAGCCUGUGUUAGUGGAGAAGAGGGAAGGAAACUGGCUGGAGGCCGCUGGACCCACAGAGGACAAUAGACAAUCUCCUGCUAGAAAUGACAAACCAGUAUCUUGAGUAAAAUAAUGACUUGGACUGUAAGAAAUUAAUUAGAAAACAUCUGUGCAAUGUAGUGGAAGAAAAAGAAAAUGAGACCCAGAAGACCCAAAUCACAAAUCAAAAGGACCUCACAGAAGAUUCUACAAUUGAGAUUAUUUAUCCUGGGAUGCCCACUGGAUCCAAAGAGAGAAACUCUAUAGAAUUAUGAUCUAGGUUUGACUGACUCCUGGCAAGAAGCCCUACCCGCCAGCCAAUUUGGAUGAGGAACACAGAAUCACUUGUGGAAUUAAGAGAUAAGGACAGCAAGUAGACCAAACUAUAAGCUGAGGUUCAAGGUGGCAUAGGCUGGGUGCCACAGUGCUGUGUCUCAGGUGGGCUAGAAGUGCGAAACGGACAGUACCAGAAGGAAAACUUGAGGCUCUUAUGCUCCAGAUCCAUCAUGAGAAGAACAUGCCCUGGAUUCCUGCUAUCCCUUUAGCCAUGGCUCCAAAAUUAACACACACAAGGAAGACCUGAGGUCAAUCCACAGCCUGGAUUCAAGUCACCUAAUACAUAGGAGAAUCAGAGCUACCCAGCCACACUCAAUCUACGUUAACUGAACCUCAGCUGACCUGCAGAUUUAUGAGUAUGAGAAUAAAGGCUUGUUAAUGUA